GUUUGUGGAUCCGACCCGGGGAAGUGAGCCGACUGUGCGUGACGGCGUUCUCUGGACCUGGAUGACUCUCCGGCCGGCGGCUGCCAUGAAAGAUUUCACCUCCAGAAUGAACAUAAAGGCUGCGUGGGGCAGAAUAAGACGUCCAUAACACCUUUUGAGGGUGUCCGGCGCGAUGCACCUUCCCCCGUGAUAAUCCUGGCUUCCUGCGUGGAGUAGUCGUCCUCCGAAUGAUUGCGUGACAGGGUCUGAUGUCACGACGCGAGGCGAUGAGUUCUGCACUGGAUACAAGAAUCCAAUGUGUUUUUUUUGUUGCAUAGAUUUUGAUUCAAAUAAAAUUAUAUUAAAAUGA